GUGGUUCGAAACGGCACAGGUGAAAGAAUCCCAUGCGCCUACAUUACCCCACCCCCCACUCCUGGACAGCUUUCCCCUCCCCAUCCCCUUCUCUUCCACAGACCCGGAGUGCGGCGGCUCUGCUCCGGCGAUCUGUCCAUCGACGGCCUCGAGAUCGAUGGGGUCCUUGCCGUGCCGGCUGGAUGGAGUGGUUCUGUCCUCCAAGCGGAGUCCCAGGAUUCCAUGGGUGCAGCAGAUGCGGCCGACAAAGCACAGGCAGACGGAGGUGCGGCCAUAUAGGAGGUGUGUUCUGAAGCUACGAGUGGCUGGACACGAAGGGUUAGGAUGGGGAAAGCUCCUGACGAGAGGGAGAUGAAGCCUGACAAGAGAACAGCACUGGAAUUGUCUGUGCGCGCUUAUGCCGAGAAAGGAGCUGGUCAUGUUGUCAAUCCAGCAAUUGGCACAUCUUUUAACUCGUUAGAUGAGGCUUAUGAGUUCUACAACCUUUAUUGGAAUGUGGUUUUGGAGUUCGGCUAUGUUGCUCGGAAAAGGUGCAUGCAAGAGAUUGUUUGUGAUUGUGCGGUAGGUGAUCGCAAAGUGCAUUAUGUUUGAUGCCAUAAUGUUUGAUGGACUGUUUGAGCCUAACUUCCUCUAGAUUAAAUUAGUUGUGACUUGUGAGGUUUGA